CUACAAGGUCAUACAGAAACCAGAAAACCGUGAAGGGUGACCACUAUUAGGAGAGAAAACAUGAGAGAUGAAAAGAGUUUGUUAUUCUCGUUAAGUCGUUACAGAGUCGUUACAGAGCUUUAUAUAACAGCUACUGAACCGGAAUCAAAGUAAACCGUGUACAACAUUUAACCAAUAUUAACCAACACUCUAAUAGCCCCCCUCAAGAUGGCGAGAAGACUGAAUUCAAAGCCAUCUUGCCAAUGAUAGAGUGGAAAUGACCAGGUUGGAGAGGUUUAGUGAAAACAUCAGCUAGUUGAUUGUCUGUCCUUACAUGAAGUGUCUUGAUUAAACCCUUCAGUAUCAGCUCCCGAACUUUGUGACAAUCAAACUCUAGAUGUUUAGUUCUUUCAUGAAACACUGCAUUGUUUGCAAUGUGAAUUGCUGCAGUGGAAUCACAAAAGAACGCAACCGGUUGACUCUGAAACACUUGAAAGUCUGUCAAAAGAUUGACUAACCAUUGAAUCUCACGAACUGCAAACCCCAUAGCUCUGUACUCAGACUCUGCUGAAGAAUGAGAGACUGUGUCUUGUUUCUUGGACUUCCAUGAUAUCAAAGAGUUACCAAGAAACAUACAGUAACCUGAAGUUGAACGUCGUGAAUCCAAACAAGAACCCCAAUCGGCAUCCGUGAACGCUUUUAGAACGAAAUCACAGGUAGAAGAGUAGAAAACUCCCAUGCCAACUGUUCCUUUGAGAUAAUGUAGAACUCGCAAAGCAGCCUGAUAAUGUGAUUUACGUGGAGCAGAGGCAAACUGACAAAGCUUGUUCACAGCAAAUGUAAUGUCAGGUCUAGUGAUUGUGAGAUACAUCAUCUUGCCAACGAGUCUUCUGAAGAUUAAAGGUUCCUCAAGAAGAUCAUCAGGACUAUCCACACGCAGUUUAACACAAGGAUCCAUAGGAAUUGAACAAGGCUUGCAAGCCAAGAGUCCUGAAUCUUCAAGAAGCUCCAAAGUAUACUUUCUUUGAGAAACAAAGAUACCAGAAGAGGAACGAGCAAUCUCCAAUCCCAAAAAAUACCGUAAGGGGCCGAGAUCUCUGAGCUUGAAGAAAGACUUCAUGUCUGUUUUGAGUUGAACAACAUCGUCAUCAUUGUUUGAGGCGAUGAUGAUGUCGUCAACGUAAACUAAAACAGCAAGAUAUUUAGCAUCGUCACGGCGAAUGAACAAGGUAUGAUCACUGUGAGAUUGUUGAAACCCAAGAGCCAACAAAGUGGUACUGAACUUCAAAAACCAUUGUCUUGAUGCCUGCUUCAAGCCAUAUAGUGACUUCUUAAGCUUGCAGACAGCAUUUUCAGGCAGAAUGGUUCCCUCUUUCGCAGUAUAUCCCGGCGGAAGAUGCAUGUAAAUCUCUUCAUGCAAUUCACCAUUCAAGAAGGCAUUAGAUAUGUCUAGUUGUGUUAAGCUCCAAUUCUUAGCUGCUGCGACAGAUAACAGAGUUUUGACGGUUGUCAUCUUCGCAACAGGUGAGAAUGUAUCCACAAAAUCGAUACCCUCUUGUUGUGUGUAACCUUUAGCCACUAAUCUCGCUUUGUAACGUUCCAGAGUUCCAUCAGCGUUAAGCUUGACUUUAUAAACCCACUUGCAUCCAAUAGCAUGUUUACCCGGAGGAAGAGAACAAAUCUCCCAUGUCUGAGUAUUCUCCAAGGCAAUGAGUUCCUCAUUCAUUGCUUUGAGCCAUUCAUCAAAUUUCUUGGCUUGAGUGAAUGAAGUAGGUUCUGGAUGUAAUGCUAUCGCACAGAUAUAGGAUUUGUAUCCUUUUGAAAGCUUCUUGAGAGAGAGGUAAGAAGCCAAAGGAUAGGGGAUAUCUGUCUCGGUCAUAUUGCAGUAAUAAUCAUGCAGAUAAGCUGGUUGUUUAGACACUCUUGUUGGCUUAACAGCCUCUGCAGCAGAUGGAGUAGUUGAAGAAGUCUCCACAACUGUAGGUGAGGAAGUCACAUCUACAGGGAUUUCUUCAUUACUCGUUGCAGCAGAACCAAACAGAGACAUAAAAUCAGGAGAUGCCAUUGAAGAAUCCUGAAAAGGAAAUAUAUCUUCAUGAAAAACGACAUUCCGUGAUAUAUGAAUCGUGUUACUCUCCAAGUCCAGAAGCUUGUAGCCUUUAUACCCUGCUGGAUAUCCAAGAAGAACACAAGGUCUUGCUCGAGGUUGAAACUUGUGUCUGUGUUUAGUAGAUGUGGAGCAGUACACAAGACAUCCAAACACACGAAGAUCCUUAUAAGCAGGUUUGCUAUUAGUCAGCAUCUGGAAAGGAGACUUGUUCUUUAGUAGAGGAGAGGGUAGUCGAUUGAUCAAAAACACUGCUGUAAGAACACAAUCACUCCAGUACUCGAGUGGAAACACGGAUCGUGAUGUUGAACGUAGAUUCAACGCUCUGAUACCAUAUUAGGAGAGAAAACAUGAGAGAUGAAAAGAGUUUGUUAUUCUCGUUAAGUCGUUACAGAGUCGUUACAGAGCUUUAUAUAACAGCUACUGAACCGGAAUCAAAGUAAACCGUGUACAACAUUUAACCAAUAUUAACCAACACUCUAAUAACCACCAACAUCGAUCCUCCUCUUCAUAGAUUGAUAAUCAAAAUCGUGGGGUACACCAAAAAUAGAUUGGAAUACAGUAUCAAAGUCUUCAUCCUCGUAACGAAACUGGCCUGAAAAAUAGAACACAUACGUCUAUGUAUAAAAAUUACACCUUCUGAAUCAACAAAGUGAUUUGUGACAGUUUCA
rnacentral:lncRNA from 1 species